CGCCGCCAUGUUGGCGCGCGGUGCAGCACGGGCCGGGGCGGCGCCAUUGGCGCCCGGGCGGUGUGAGGGGGCCCUGCCCGGGCCGCGCCCGAGUGCCAGUUUGUGGGUUUUUUGGUUUUGUUUGUUUGGGGUUUUUUUACCAAAACGGCAGCAAACUUUGUGUUUAAAAAUUCUGUUUGAGGAGAACACGGCGGGGGGUUUCUUUCAUAUGAGCCUCCCACCUCUACUUGUCCGCUUUUCACCUCACAUCGCCCCUCAGGUGUGGUGGGGCUUCAUGUCCCCCUCAGGGUGUGCAAAGGGCUCUGCCAUGGCCCCGCCGACGGUGUGAGGGGGCCUCAGCCAUUGUCCCCCCCUCAGGGUGGAAGGGGAUGGGGACAGGGUUCUCCUCAGUGGAAGUAUGAAAGGGGUCUCCAUCUUCUCCCCCUCAGCGUGGCAGAGGUCUGCCCUUGUCCCCGCUGAGAGUGUGAAGGGAGGUCUACCAUGUCCCUACUGAAGAUGUCAAGGACUGGUUCCUCCCAGAGGAACUGAGCACAAAAAAAAAAAAUAUAUAUAUAUAUAUGUAUGUAUGUACGUAUAUGUAUAUAUGUGGUCUGGAGCAUCUCAUGAGAAGAGACUGCAGGAGCUGGGCCUGUCUGGCAGAUGUGACCACCUGCAGCACAUCCUGCAUCCAGCCUCUGAGACACAGUGGCCUUAAGGAGUUCUUGAUGGGGGUCAGAGGACGAAAACUUGGAGACCAGCACAGACUUCCUCUCUUCCUUCUUUUUGGCUUGCCAUUAGAGGUUUGGGGACCACAAGAUAAGUCUCCCACUGUGGGAAAUGUGCUCCAGAAUGUGAAUUUUGUAGCCACUCCCACUUUUCUCCUCUUCAUGUCAAGUGAAAAAUAUGAUUAUUUUACUUGACACAAACAAAUGUAUGUCCAGGAUGGAGGUGGAUCAAAAUACCAUCUUAUAUAUAAAUAAAUAUGUGAAUAUAUGAUAUAUUCAACACAGCAUGGUGUAAAUGUUUGGUAGGAAAAGCAUCAUUUUAGAGAAAUCCCUCAAGGACUCGCCUUCAAAAAGAUUUCAACACUUGGUGUGCUUCACGUGGAAAUGGCUGAGCUGUUUCCUGCUCUGUGGAGCGCUGAGCUGAUGGUCUGGAUCUCCAUCCUAUUUACCAGUGCUCCUUUUUAAAAUUUUAUUUGCAGUUUUAUGAGAACGUUUCUUUGCUGAUAUUCGGGAGGGAGGGAGAAGCCACGUGAGUGACUGACAGGAACUGCUGGAAUGGCUUUGUCUACAGUUCUAGACAACUAUAAAGCUACAUUUCACACAUGAAGGAAAGGUCAAGCGGGGAUAACAUUUUUAUAUCUGUUUUCCUUAAGCGCCAAUAAAUGUUUUAAAUGAUACUAUCGA